rnacentral:lncRNA from 1 species
AACGAUCGAGUGGAAGUUAGUUGAGCAUGCAAGUGGAACUCAAAAUUUUGAAAUAGAAAUAGUUCGUUUGAAAGAGGAAAACCGUAAUUUAACCAAGGAAUUGUAUAUUUAAAUAUACAAUUCCUUGAUUUAACCAACACCAGACAACGUUUAACAAUGGAGUUAAAAAAUUCUGACAUGUAGUACAAAAGCAUCUUAAAUGAUAUGGAAGGCGAAAUUCAGAGACUCAAGGAAGAGAACGUAAACAGUAGACACGAGAUUCAACUUCUAGAUAAAUUCAAACCGAAAUGUUGCAAUUUGUUCGCAUGGCAAUCAUCGGCGAGGAGGAGGAUACCCACGACGAUAACAAAAUUAUUUCGGCAAACUCGGAGACCGAGUUUAGGUGGAGUAGUGGCGAAUAUAACCAGGAAGAUUUGGACUAUUUGCGAUAAUCGAUUACAAAUAAAUUAAG